rfam:Stegodyphus mimosarum contig55710, whole genome shotgun sequence.
GCCUUCGUGGUGUACUGGUCAGCACGCUCGACGCGUAACCGAGAGGUCCGUGGUUCGAUUCCCGGCGAAGGCG